rnacentral:misc_RNA from 1 species
GAACAAGCUAAAUGAUAUAGCUUACUAACCAGAGCUAAGAAGAAAAGGAAGUUUUAUCUUUACAAGUAUAAUUGAAAUGGAAAUGCAAAAGCAAAAUUCAAAAGAAAGCACAAUCCUAAAUUCAAGAAAGAAAUCCAAAACUCUGCAGCAACAAACAUAAAAGAGCCACUAACAUCUUUGUACUUCAAAUCUUUAACUACUAGUCAUUUGUAUAAAAGUGGACAUGUGCUGACAGCUGACCGUAGCUCCUUCAUCUCCAAUAGGGU